rnacentral:rRNA from 1 species
GACGAACGCUGGCGGCGUGCUUAACACAUGCAAGUCGAACGGAAAGGCCCUGCUUGCAGGGUACUCGAGUGGCGAACGGGUGAGUAACACGUGGGUGAUCUGCCUGCAAUUCGGGAUAAGCCCGGGGAACUGGGGCUAAUAACGGGUAGGAGGCAUUUUUUGGGGGGUGGUUGGAAAGGUUUUUCGGUGUAGGAUGAGCUCGCGGCCUAUCAGCUUGUUGGUGGGGUAAUGGCCUACCAAGGCGGCGACGGGUAGCCGGCCUGAGAGGGUGGACGGCCACAUUGGGACUGAGAUACGGCCCAGACUCCUACGGGAGGCAGCAGUGGGGAAUAUUGCACAAUGGGCGCAAGCCUGAUGCAGCGACGCCGCGUGGGGGAUGACGGCCUUCGGGUUGUAAACUCCUUUCGCUAGGGACGAAGCUUUUUGUGACGGUACCUAGAUAAGAAGCACCGGCUAACUACGUG